CAUGCAGUCGACGAAGAUGGCAGCCUCUGGUUGGCAUCUUAGUGGCGGACGGGUGAGUAACGCGUAAGAACUUGCCCCUGGGAGAGGGAUACCAACUGGAAACGGUUGUUAAUACCUCAUAGGCUGAGGAGUAAAAUGGUUAACACCGCCUAGGGAUAGGCUUGCGUCUGAUUAGCUAGUUGGUGGGGCAAAGGCCUACCAAGGCAAUGAUCAGUAGCUGGUCUGAGAGGACAAUCAGCCACACUGGGACUGAGACACGGCCCAGACUCCUACGGGAGGCAGCAGUGAGGAAUUUUCCGCAAUGGGCGAAAGCCUGACGGAGCAAUGCCGCGUGGAGGAUGAAGGCCCGUGGGUUGUAAACUCCUUUUCUUAGAGAAGAAGCCCUGACGGUAUCUAAGGAAUAAGCAUCGGCUAACUCCGUGCCAGCAGCCGCGGUAAUACGGGGGAUGCAAGCGUUAUCCGGAAUCAUUGGGCGUAAAGGGUCCUGAGGUGGUUUGCUAAGUCUACUGUGAAAGAUCAGGGCUCAACCCUGAAGAUGCGGUGGAAACUGGCAGGCUAGAAUACGGUAGGGGCAGGGGGAAUUCCCGGUGUAGCGGUGAAAUGCAUAGAUAUCGGGAAGAACACCAAAGGCGAAAGCACCCUGCUGGGCCGAUAUUGACACUGACAGACGAAAGCUAGGGGAGCGAAUGGGAUUAGAUACCCCAGUAGUCCUAGCCGUAAACGAUGGAUACUAAGUGCUGAACGACCAAAAACGUGCAGUGCUGCAGCUAACGCGCUAAGUAUCCCGCCUGGAGUAUGCCCGCAUGGUGAACUCAAAGGAUGACGGGGCC
rnacentral:rRNA from 1 species